rnacentral:rRNA from 1 species
CAGUCGCCACGGUAAAACGAAGGGUGCAAGCGUUAAUCGGAAUUACUGGGCGUAAAGCGUGCGUAGGCGGUUUGUUAAGUCUGUUGUGAAAUCCCCGGGCUCAACCUGGGAAUGGCAAUGGAUACUGGCAAGCUAGAGUGUGUCAGAGGAUGGUGGAAUUCCCGGUGUGGCGGUGAAAUGCGUAGAGAUCGAGAGGAACAUCAGUGGCGAAGGCGGCCAUCUGGGACAACACUGACGCUGAGGCACGAAAGCGUGGGGAGCAAACAGAAUUAGAUACCCGUGUAGUCCCUGUCUCUUAUAC